GUGAUGGAGCGGAUUUUUACCGUUUCUCCGCCGUGAGUUCGACUGAAGCGGAACGGUGUCAGGUCGAACUACAUCAC
rnacentral:ncRNA from 12 species